CAGAGGAUGGUCCAGGGAGGCGAGACCGACCGACUCACCGCGGACCGUUAGACCGGCCCAGUCCGUGGCUACAGCGGGGCCAGCUGGCACCACAAACACCCAGUAACCGGCACAAACCGGAUUUGACAGCUGCAGCUGUACGUGCUCCGCUCACCCGGCUCGGAGGCGACCGUCCUGGGGUGAACUCCUGACGGAGGCGGCCUCUCCCGACCCCCCGCUCCCCGGAGCUCCGCAGCACUUUGUGGGGGUUCGUUCUCCAUCAGCCGGCUCUGCUCGCUCUCUGUCUCCGCUGGAUGUGCUAGCAUGAGCGCAUGAGGGCGGUCCUGCUGGAGCGGAGCCGCAUCCUGUGGAUCGGGAGCAGCGCUUUCUCUAUCUUCUGUUUUAUUAUUUUCUGAUGCGUUUCCUUUUAAUCGGGUGGAUAAUCUGAACGUUUUACCGACCUUCUGGGAUUAGCUCAUGGAUAUUCUGCCUUCAGGACACAAGUGGAAGGAACAACCUUGAGAUUUCCAGGAAUGAUCAUCCUGCAAGACCAGCUCCUAAAAACCAUCUGCUCCAGAUUUCUGGCUAAUGAUUCCCUCCACCGGCUGGAUUUUCUCCAUUGAAGUCAUCGGAGGCGGAGGAGCCUUUUUGUCACCGCUCAUCGCUUUUCUCACGCUGGGAUUUACAUUAGUGAAUCUG